GAUAACUCCGGGAAACCGGGGCUAAUACCGGAUGGUUGUUUGAACCGCAUGGUUCAAACAUAAAAGGUGGCUUCGGCUACCACUUACAGAUGGACCCGCGGCGCAUUAGCUAGUUGGUGAGGUAACGGCUCACCAAGGCAACGAUGCGUAGCCGACCUGAGAGGGUGAUCGGCCACACUGGGACUGAGACACGGCCCAGACUCCUACGGGAGGCAGCAGUAGGGAAUCUUCCGCAAUGGACGAAAGUCUGACGGAGCAACGCCGCGUGAGUGAUGAAGGUUUUCGGAUCGUAAAGCUCUGUUGUUAGGGAAGAACAAGUACCGUUCGAAUAGGGCGGUACCUUGACGGUACCUAACCAGAAAGCCACGGCUAACUACGUGCCAGCAGCCGCGGUAAUACGUAGGUGGCAAGCGUUGUCCGGAAUUAUUGGGCGUAAAGGGCUCGCAGGCGGUUUCUUAAGUCUGAUGUGAAAGCCCCCGGCUCAACCGGGGAGGGUCAUUGGAAACUGGGGAACUUGAGUGCAGAAGAGGAGAGUGGAAUUCCACGUGUAGCGGUGA
rnacentral:rRNA from 1 species